AUAGAAAGAACCCUAGGAGAGAGGAGCUCUGUUAGAGAGAGAGACAAAGAUAAGAGAUGAGAGGGAGAGAUAGAGAGAACCCUAGGAGAAAGGAGCUCUGUUAGAGAGAGAGACAAAGAUAAGAGAUGAGAGGGAGAACCAUCUAUGAGAAAGAUAAAGCGACACCAGAGUAGCGGCGCCGAUCGGCCAUGACUUCCGGCUUGCUACUGGGCGUUAUUGCGGUGAUCGGCCAUGACUUCCGGCCUUCCGCGUUCCCUAUCCAUAUUAGUGUGAUGCCUUGACAUCUUGAAAAUGUUGCUCCAUUACAGGAACAGGUUUAGAAGGAAAAUUAGGAGUGGAUUCAUUGGUAACUUUAUUUGGGUUAUGGUGGUGGUCUGCGAUGGUGACCACUGGCGACGGAGAUGCCUCGAAACAGGGUGACAUGUGGUGGUGUUGGAAGCUGCUAAAGGGACUACGAAACAAUUUGGAGACGGGUCAAAGCUGAGUUAAAUGUGGUCAACUCAGUCAGCAAAAGUCUUGAGUUGGUUAAUAAUCGUUCAACCACAGAACGGAAGUUCCUGGAGGGUGAUGUCCAUAACAGAGUUGAAGGACAAAUUCAAAAAGACUAUCAUUAGAAAAAGCAGAUAGUGGAUAGAAGGAUAAGUACGAAGUUCUGUACAAAUAGGGAUAAUUUAUGAUCAAUACAAAAUUUCCCAAACUAUAUUAAAUAAACCAUCUAUUGGAACCUUUUUGUGUUGAAAACUAACUGGUAGUUUGCAGUGCUUGCAUGGUCCAAAUUUUAGGCUUGGAAGCUUUUGUAGUUUGUACUAUUGGCAUUCUCUUAGUUUAGGAGCGCCUCGCCCUUUUUAAACCAAGACCCCUAACACAUUGUAGCGAAUGAUCGCAUUCAACAAGGCUCAUCAAAGUUUGUGGUUAACCAGGUUUUCAACUUUCGACUGACCCUAUCAGACGCUCUUUCCGUUACACAAAGUUAUGGUGCAUGAGGGUACAACUGAUGGUAUGCAAGAUUGCAAGGUGAAAGCCACAUUUUCUCAAAACCGUACAACAUCAGAGAGAGACAAAAGAAAAGCGAAGAGCAAAGGCGGAGCCGCCUCCGACGAUGAAUCGUUUAUUAUACCUACCCAUCUUCUAAAAACUUUAUUAGAGGCGACUAUGGUUACAUUGGCGGCAAAGUUUAUAGAAUGAUCUGGUCUGGCGUGCCGAACGCAAGUUGUUGCAACCAUGGUUUACUGAGAGCCUUGAGCCUCAGAAAAGUCUUAGUUUCAUGUAGCUCAACAACCGUUGUGUAUUGGUUUAUCAUGUUUUGAAGACUUCGAUCUAUUUGAAUUUGUUUGGUGAA
rnacentral:lncRNA from 1 species